AAUGAGAGACGGACAGUCGCGGAGACGCAGCCCGCAGUAUUUUUUUGUUUAUGGGCGCGCCGAUGAGGAAAGUCCGGACACCACAGGACGCAGUGAUGGAUAACAUCCACCGGCCGCGAGGUCAGGGAAAGUGCAACAGAAAAGAAACCGCCGUCGGGCUUUUUUUAUUUUUGAGUCUGGCAGGUAAGGGUGAAAUGGCGAGGUAAGAGCUCACCGCGGCGCAGGUGACUGCGGCGGCAAGGCAAACCCCACUGGGUGCAAUGCCAAACAGAGGGAAGUAAAGCGGGCCUUUGUGUUCGUUUUCCCGUGUCGGUCCGGCACGGCGACCUUCGGGUAGGCAGCUUGAGGCGUUCAGCAAUGGGCGCUCCAGAUAAAUGACUGUCGCCUGGGCUUCGGCCUCAUGUGUGUC
rnacentral:RNase_P_RNA from 1 species